rnacentral:misc_RNA from 1 species
UUUGGUCGCCCGCCAAUGUUCUCAGCUGGCCUUGCUACCGACUCCAUAUUUUUGCCCAAUGACCUAUGCUCUAGCUUUGCGUGUAUCUUAUUGCCCUUUUUAUAGAGGCUUCAGUGAAUGUGCGCGCAUGGGUAGGUGAGACUUGAGAUUUGCAAGAGAGAGAGAAGGAAAGGAAAAUGUAAUGUAGCGUAGGGCAAGGCAGGGCACCAAACAUCGUCGAGGUUAAGGCAACAUUGUAAUUAAUUACUGAGAAAACAACGCUUUGUCAGAGUACAAUU